CUUCUUUUUCUUUUCUUUUCCUUUUUUCUUUCCCUUUUUCUUUCCUUUUCUUCUCUUCUCCUUUUUCUUUUCCUCUCCUUCCCGAAGCUUCUUCUUCUCCCUUCAUCUCUUUCACCCUUUCUCCUCCUCUCUUCUCCGACGAAGGGAGGGCGGCGAGCGGAAGGGAGGACGGCGAGCGGGAGGGGGCCGAGCCACGACCGGCGGCGUCCGCGGCCAGGCCCCGCAGCAUCCCCAGCCGAGCCUGCAGCGCUCUCGGCCGCGCCUACGGUCGACGCUCAUGUCGACGGUGCUCGCGGCCGAAGCCGGCGGCCGCCGCACGCGACGACGAGCUGAUGAGUCCCCUCUUCCUCUUUUCUUCUCUAUUUCUUUUCUUCUUCCCAGAGCUUCCUCUCCUCCUCUCUUUCCUUCCUUCUCU
rnacentral:lncRNA from 1 species